rnacentral:rRNA from 1 species
GUGGGGAAUCUUCCGCAAUGGACGAAAGUCUGACGGAGCAACGCCGCGUGAGUGAUGAAGGUCUUCGGAUUGUAAAGCUCUGUUAAUCGGGACGAAAGAGCCUAGUGUGAAUAAUGCUAGGAAGUGACGGUACCGGAAUAGAAAGCCACGGCUAACUACGUGCCAGCAGCCGCGGUAAUACGUAGGUGGCAAGCGUUGUCCGGAAUUAUUGGGCGUAAAGCGCGCGCAGGCGGGUAUGCCAGUCUGUCUUAAAAGUUCGGGGCUUAACCCCGUGAUGGGAUGGAAACUACAGAUCUAGAGUAUCGGAGAGGAAAGUGGAAUUCCUAGUGUAGCGGUGAAAUGCGUAGAUAUUAGGAAGAACACCAGUGGCGAAGGCGACUUUCUGGACGAAAACUGACGCUGAGGCGCGAAAGCCAGGGGAGCGAACGGGAUUAGAUACCCCAGUAGUCC